rnacentral:rRNA from 1 species
GAUGAACGCUGGCGGCGUGCCUAACACAUGCAAGUCGAGCGGUGAAGUUUCCUUCGGGAAACGGAUUAGCGGCGGACGGGUGAGUAACACGUGGGUAACCUGCCUCAUAAUGGGGGAUAGCCUUUCGAAAGGAAGAUUAAUACCGCAUAACAUCAUUAAAUGGCAUCAUUUAAUGAUCAAAGGAUUUAUUCGUUAUGAGAUGGACCCGCGUCGCAUUAGCUAGUUGGUAAGGUAAUGGCUUACCAAGGCGACGAUGCGUAGCCGACCUGAGAGGGUGAUCGGCCACAUUGGGACUGGGACACGGCCCAGACUCCUACGGGAGGCAGCAGUGGGGAAUAUUGCACAAUGGGGGAAACCCUGAUGCAGCAACGCCGCGUGAGUGAUGACGGUCUUCGGAUUGUAAAGCUCUGUCUUUGGGGGCGAUAAUGACGGUACCCAAGGAGGAAGCCACGGCUAACUACGUGCCAGCAGCCGCCGUAA